rnacentral:rRNA from 1 species
UACGGAGGGUGCAAGCGUUGUUCGGAAUUAUUGGGCGUAAAGGGCAGGUAGGUGGUCUGGUAAGUCUACUGUGAAAUCCCCGGGCUUAACUCGGGAAGUGCGGUGGAUACUGGAUGGCUUGAGUUUGGGAGAGGGAUGCGGAAUUCCAGGUGUAGCGGUGAAAUGCGUAGAUAUCUGGAGGAACACCGGUGGCGAAGGCGGCAUCCUGGACCAACACUGACGCUGAGUGAGCGAAAGCCAGGGGAGCAAACGGG